rnacentral:snoRNA from 1 species
AUGCACUGCCUUUGAGACCCUGCCAUGCCUGCGCAUGGCACUGGGGGUUAAGCUGCAGUGCCAGAGUAUGUGCUUGCGCAAACUGGGGCCACCUGACCCUAUGGGUGGUGACUUUAACUGUGAGUGAUAGGA